GCCGAGAGCAGCAGUCAAGGCCAAGUGGGCGAGGUGGUCCGCUUGCAAUCUAUCCUAGCCGAGCAUAUCCGUGCCAGGUGCUGUUGCUGCCCUAGGUACGCCAAGGAACAGAGGAGGGCA